AUAGAUUUUGAAAAAUUGACUAAUGAAAAUGAUGCUCUUAAAAAUAAAAAUGAAGUUUUAGAAAAAGAAAAUAAAUUUUUGAAAAAUGACAUUGUUGAUUUUAAAAAUAAAAUCAAGGAAUUGAAUGAAGCCUCUUCUAUUGAUAAAUGUUCCAAUUGUUCUUCUUGUAGUUCUUUAAUACUAAAGAACACAGAACUUAGGAAAGCACUAGAAACACGUAGUGUUGAUAGUCCUAAAAAUGAAGAUAUUAAAAAGGAUGAAAGUAAUGAGGUCAGACCAUCUAGAAAGAAUUCU
rnacentral:lncRNA from 1 species